rnacentral:rRNA from 1 species
AAAUUGAAGAGUUUGAUCAUGGCUCAGAUUGAACGCUGGCGGCAGGCCUAACACAUGCAAGUCGAGCGGUAGCACAGAGAGCUUGCUCUCGGGUGACGAGCGGCGGACGGGUGAGUAAUGUCUGGGAAACUGCCUGAUGGAGGGGGGGAUAACUACUGGAAACGGUAGCUAAUACCGCAUAACGUCGCAAGACCAAAGUGGGGGACCUUCGGGCCUCAUGCCAUCAGAUGUGCCCAGAUGGGAUUAGCUAGUAGGUGGGGUAACGGCUCACCUAGGCGACGAUCCCUAGCUGGUCUGAGAGGAUGACCAGCCACACUGGAACUGAGACACGGUCCAGACUCCUACGGGAGGCAGCAGUGGGGAAUAUUGCACAAUGGGCGCAAGCCUGAUGCAGCCAUGCCGCGUGUGUGAAGAAGGCCUUCGGGUUGUAAAGCACUUUCAGCGGGGAGGAAGGCGGUGAGGUUAAUAACCUCACCGAUUGACGUUACCCGCAGAAGAAGCACCGGCUAACUCCGUGCCAGCAGCCGCGGUAAUACGGAGGGUGCAAGCGUUAAUCGGAAUUACUGGGCGUAAAGCGCACGCAGGCGGUCUGUCAAGUCGGAUGUGAAAUCCCCGGGCUCAACCUGGGAACUGCAUUCGAAACUGGCAGGCUAGAGUCUUGUAGAGGGGGGUAGAAUUCCAGGUGUAGCGGUGAAAUGCGUAGAGAUCUGGAGGAAUACCGGUGGCGAAGGCGGCCCCCUGGACAAAGACUGACGCUCAGGUGCGAAAGCGUGGGGAGCAAACAGGAUUAGAUACCCUGGUAGUCCACGCUGUAAACGAUGUCGAUUUGGAGGUUGUGCCCUUGAGGCGUGGCUUCCGGAGCUAACGCGUUAAAUCGACCGCCUGGGGAGUACGGCCGCAAGGUUAAAACUCAAAUGAAUUGACGGGGGCCCGCACAAGCGGUGGAGCAUGUGGUUUAAUUCGAUGCAACGCGAAGAACCUUACCUGGUCUUGACAUCCACAGAACUUAGCAGAGAUGCUUUGGUGCCUUCGGGAACUGUGAGACAGGUGCUGCAUGGCUGUCGUCAGCUCGUGUUGUGAAAUGUUGGGUUAAGUCCCGCAACGAGCGCAACCCUUAUCCUUUGUUGCCAGCGGUUAGGCCGGGAACUCAAAGGAGACUGCCAGUGAUAAACUGGAGGAAGGUGGGGAUGACGUCAAGUCAUCAUGGCCCUUACGACCAGGGCUACACACGUGCUACAAUGGCAUAUACAAAGAGAAGCGACCUCGCGAGAGCAAGCGGACCUCAUAAAGUAUGUCGUAGUCCGGAUUGAGUCUGCAACUCGACUCCAUGAAGUCGGAAUCGCUAGUAAUCGUAGAUCAGAAUGCUACGGUGAAUACGUUCCCGGGCCUUGUACACACCGCCCGUCACACCAUGGGAGUGGGUUGCAAAAGAAGUAGGUAGCUUAACCUUCGGGAGGGCGCUUACCACUUUGUGAUUCAUGACUGGGGUGAAGUCGUAACAAGGUAACCGUAGGGGAACCUGCGGUUGGAUCACCUCCUUACCUUAAAGAA